CCUACGGGAGGCAGCAGUGGGGAAUAUUGCACAAUGGGGGAAACCCUGAUGCAGCGACGCCGCGUGAGUGAAGAAGUAUUUCGGUAUGUAAAGCUCUAUCAGCAGGGAAGAAAAGGCCGGUACCUGUUUAAGAAGCCCCGGCUACCUACGUCCCAGCAGCCGCGGUAAUACGUAGGGGGCAAGCGUUAUCCGGAUUUACUGGGUGUAAAGGGAGAGUAGACGGCAGCACAAGUCUGGAGUGAAAUGCCGGGGCUUAACCCCGGAACUGCUUUGGAAACUGUGCAGCUAGAGUGAAGGAGAGGUAAGUGGAAUUCCUAGUGUAGCGGUGAAAUGCGUAGAUAUUAGGAGGAACACCAGUGGCGAAGGCGGCUUACUGGACUGUAACUGACGUUGAGGCUCGAAAGCGUGGGGAGCAAACAGGAUUAGAUACCCCUGUAGUC
rnacentral:rRNA from 1 species